UACGAAGGGGGCUAGCGUUGUUCGGAAUUACUGGGCGUAAAGCGCACGUAGGCGGAUUGUUUAGUUAGGGGUGAAAUCCCAGGGCUCAACCCUGGAACUGCCUCUAAUACUGGCAAUCUCGAGUCCGAGAGAGGUGAGUGGAAUUCCGAGUGUAGAGGUGAAAUUCGUAGAUAUUCGGAGGAACACCAGUGGCGAAGGCGGCUCACUGGCUCGGUACUGACGCUGAGGUGCGAAAGCGUGGGGAGCAAACAGG
rnacentral:rRNA from 1 species